UACGGAGGGUGCGAGCGUUGUCCGGAAUCACUGGGCUUAAAGCGCGUGUAGGUGGGGCGGCACGUCGGUCGCUGAAAUCCCCCGGCUUAACCGGGGAACGGGCGCCGAUACGACCGCCCUUGAGGGGCGUAGGGGGGGCUGGAACUUCCGGUGGAGCGGUGAAAUGCGUUGAGAUCGGAAGGAACGCCCGUGGCGAAAGCGAGCCCCUGGACGUCAUCUGACACUGAGACGCGAAAGCCAGGGGAGCGAACGGG
rnacentral:rRNA from 1 species